rnacentral:rRNA from 1 species
GACGAACGCUGGCGGCGUGCCUAAUACAUGCAAGUAGAACGCUGAAGGAGGAGCUUGCUCUUCUGGAUGAGUUGCGAACGGGUGAGUAACGCGUAGGUAACCUGCCUGGUAGCGGGGGAUAACUAUUGGAAACGAUAGCUAAUACCGCAUAAGAGUAGAUGUUGCAUGACAUUUGCUUAAAAGGUGCAAUUGCAUCACUACCAGAUGGACCUGCGUUGUAUUAGCUAGUUGGUGGGGUAACGGCUCACCAAGGCGACGAUACAUAGCCGACCUGAGAGGGUGAUCGGCCACACUGGGACUGAGACACGGCCCAGACUCCUACGGGAGGCAGCAGUAGGGAAUCUUCGGCAAUGGACGGAAGUCUGACCGAGCAACGCCGCGUGAGUGAAGAAGGGUUUCGGAUCGUAAAGCUCUGUUGUAAGAGAAGAACGAGUGUGAGAGUGGAAAGUCCACACUGUGACGGUAGCUUACCAGAAAGAGACGGCUAACUACGUG